rnacentral:rRNA from 1 species
GGCUUAGAGUUUGAUCAUGGCUCAGGAUGAACGCUGGCGGCGUGCUUAACACAUGCAAGUCGAACGGACAAAGAAGAUUUCGGUUUUCUUUGUUAGUGGCGGACGGGUGAGUAACGCGUGGGCAACCUACCUUAUACAGGGGGAUAACAGUUAGAAAUGACUGAUAAUACCGCAUAAGCGCCCGAGGUCGCAUGACCUUGAGUGAAAAACUCCGGUGGUAUAAGAUGGGCCCGCGUCUGAUUAGCUAGUUGGUAAGGUAACGGCUUACCAAGGCGACGAUCAGUAGCCGACCUGAGAGGGUGAUCGGCCACAUUGGGACUGAGACACGGCCCAAACUCCUACGGGAGGCAGCAGUGGGGAAUAUUGCACAAUGGGGGAAACCCUGAUGCAGCGACGCCGCGUGACUGAAGAAGUAUUUCGGUAUGUAAAGGUCUAUCAGCAAGGAAGAAGAGAGACGGUACUUGACUAAGAAGCCCCGGCUAACUACGUGCCAGCAGCCGCGGUAAUACGUAUGGUGCAAGCGUUAUCCGGAUUUACUGGGUGUAAAGGGAGCGUAGACGGAUGGGCAAGUCUGGAGUGAAAACCCGGGGCUCAACCCCGGGACUGCUUUGGAAACUGUUUAUCUAGAGUGCUGGAGAGGUAAGUG